rnacentral:rRNA from 1 species
AGAACGAACGCUGGCGGCGUGGAUAAGACAUGCAAGUCGAACGCGAUUUAUCCGGUUAGCAAUAACUGGGUAAAUUGAGUGGCGAAAGGGUGCGUAACACGUGGGAAUUUACCAAGAAGUGGGGAAUAGCUCGACGAAAGUCGAAUUAAUACCGCAUGUGAUCGAAGAUCAAAGUCGGGGACCGCAAGGCCUGACGCUUUUUUGAGAAGCCCGCGGCCCAUCAGCUAGUUGGUGAGGUAAAGGCUCACCAAGGCUAUGACGGGUAGCUGGUCUGAGAGGACGACCAGCCACACUGGAACUGAGACACGGUCCAGACACCUACGGGUGGCAGCAGUCGAGAAUUUUUCACAAU